rnacentral:rRNA from 1 species
GACGAACGCUGGCGGCGUGCCUAAUACAUGCAAGUUGAGCGCUGAAGGUUGGUACUUGUACCGACUGGAUGAGCAGCGAACGGGUGAGUAACGCGUGGGGAAUCUGCCUUUGAGCGGGGGACAACAUUUGGAAACGAAUGCUAAUACCGCAUAAAAACUUUAAACACAAGUUUUAAGUUUGAAAGAUGCAAUUGCAUCACUCAAAGAUGAUCCCGCGUUGUAUUAGCUAGUUGGUGAGGUAAAGGCUCACCAAGGCGAUGAUACAUAGCCGACCUGAGAGGGUGAUCGGCCACAUUGGGACUGAGACACGGCCCAAACGCCUACGGGAGGCAGCAGUAGGGAAUCUUCGGCAAUGGACGAAAGUCUGACCGAGCAACCCCGCGUGAGUGAAGAAGGUUUUCGGAUCGUAAAACUCUGUUGGUAGAGAAGAACGUUGGUGAGAGUGGAAAGCUCAUCAAGUGACGGUAACUACCCAGAAAGGGACGGCUAACUACGUG